rnacentral:lncRNA from 1 species
ACCACAACAAACGGAGUAUGAAUGGAGACUGUUACUAGGAAGGCAGACCGGCCAUGGUGGACCAACAGAGAAUUAGAGACCACAUGACUGGUGGCACUGGCAUGAUAGAUAGAAACCCGUGGCACGGCGAUGUUGCCGUUGCCGUCAUCAAUCUGGCAUAUAAGAAGCCGCGAAUGCGACCAGUAAUGUCAACUAGUGCAUCAAUUUCUUGAUCAUGGACCAAAAAACGUCAACAAUAACGGUUGUACUCCCUCCGUUCCUAAAUAUAAGUCUUUUAAGAGAUUUCAUUAGAAGUCUACAUACGGAGCAAAAUGAAUGAAUCUAACUCUAAAGUAUGUCUAUAUACAUCCGUAUGUAGUCUACUAGUGGAAUCUCUAGAAAGACUUAUAUUUAGGAACGGAGGGAGUAGAAAACUACAGAAAUUUGGUGUAAAAGGUGAGGGGGGG